rnacentral:lncRNA from 1 species
ACGAGAAGCAUACGUCUUCUCCAUAAGUGCACCAAUCAGAAAGGGGGCAAAACAACUUUCGCCAACCUCCAAAGCAAUGUGAAAGUGUUGAAGAUAAGGAAAUUUAGGCACAAAGAUCGUUCAUGCGCGAUCUCUUCUUCCUCGAAGACUUAUUUAAAUACUCGACCAAGGCUCAUUGCUAUGAAGAUUGCGAGAAACACCUCUCCAAGAUCGCUUCAAAGAAAUUGGACAAGCAGCAACCAUCUCAUUGACAAGUUCAUCAGUCGGAAAUGGGGCAAAGCAGUUCUUGUCAACCUCCAGAACAAUGUGAAAGUGUUGGAGAUAAUGAAAUUUCUACACAAAGAUCGUCCAUCCCCAUCACAAUGCGUGAUUUCUUUCCAGAAGACUUCUUCAAUUACUCAGUCAAGGCUUCUUGCUAUGAGGAUUGUGAGGAACGCCUCUACCAAGUCGCUU